CAUCCUGUGACACGGAAUUCCCCUCUCCGUCCCGCCGCAGGGCCUAGCCCCAGAACCGCACCGUGUGGGCUUGUGGCUGGACACAUGCGUGGCAGAGAUUUGCCUCUGCCUCCCUACUGGGGACAGCUUCAGAAUCGCUCAUCCCUUUGCCUCCCUUCGCCAUCUGGCACGUAAAACAGCCAGACUGGGUCAGACCAACAGCCCGUCUAGCCCGGUAUCCUGUCUGCAGCCAGCAGCCAGUGCCAGGCGCUUUUGGCAAAAUGUUUUCCUUCUACAAACCUGUUCCCGUCUGUUCCUCUCUGCAGCCACGUGAGAGCGAAGGCAGAACCCACCGACUUCAACCAAAUGAAGCCGGCCCAGAAGCGCAGGCUCCUACAGGAGGAAGUGGCCAGGUUUCAUGAGGUCAUCGCAAACCCCGUGUACAAAGCCAAUCCCCUGGCCGCCAUCAGUGAGCAUCUCUGCAAGCGACUGAAACAGGAGGCGGGAAACGCUAUCUGACAAGUCAGCGAGGACUGAAUGAGCCUAGUGCAGACGAGUCCAGCUAGUCACCGCCAGGGGCUCCUUGAAAACAGUCCAACAGGUGAUGAAAUCCAGCGGUCCUGUUCUCUGUCAGCAGGACUAAUGUGAUGCGCUCUGGACAGUGGCAGCUGUUUCUUGGCCAGGAGCCCACAGACGGCAGCGUGUGCUGUGAGUAUCUGUGUGCCCACGUCACACGCGGUGAAAUCUGGACAGCUUCUCCCUCCCUAUUAAAAGGCACCUUUACGUUUUAUGUUGCUUCUACCCUCAAGGGGUGUUGAACCUGCUUUUUGCUGCUUCCCAUUGGGAUCACCCUUAAUAAAGAAAUCCUCCAGUAACCUGCA
rnacentral:lncRNA from 1 species